rnacentral:lncRNA from 1 species
CUUUGAGUAUGAACUCUGACAGCCUUCAUCAAGCAGUAUAGAGAUGGUUUGGGGUCUCUGAUUAGCCUGAUUGACUCCCCCAGAUGUGUUGGUUUCUCCUUUGAAGGUCCAGCAGCUCUCUGUGUCACUGAUGGUGCCUGUUGUGAUUGACUGUUUCAGUGUACUGAAGAGUCUGGCAGACAUAUAGUUACUGGAGCUGGCAAGCCCCAGCUAGAAAUUUGUCUUACGGAUCUGGAAGAAGAUCAUGCUUUACUCCAAUUAAGUCCAGUGAGAUGAUGUCAGGAGCGCUGCCACUGCUGCUGGUUAUAACUCCCGUCUCACUCCUGUUGGAGGAGCUAACGUGCGUGUUGCUCUCGUGGUGACUGGUCGAUGUGAUGAUGCUGCCAGGCGUGUUGCUUGUUAAGGUUGAGGUGAGACUAUCCAAAAACAUAGGAGGACAGUACUGCUUGAAACAAACAAUGAAAAAUGAAGAGACUAACUGCACAAGGGAAAUGUAUGCUCUGAAGAUACAUCUUCCCUACAACAAGCACAACACAAGUGACUAGCUGGACCUCACUAGUGCAUGCAGAGCAAGAAUGAGAGUUCUGCUGAACAGCAAGGAAGCAAGCAGAGGUGGGAGCAGCAAUCCCUUCUUCGUCCACUCUGUUCUUCCUCCUCCUAACCAGUUAGUCUGAGCAUUUACAGGCACAUUAGGAAACACUAUCAUGAGCACAGGACCUCCCAGCAGUAUCCAAAUGGAAACCUGCAAUGAACAGUGUCCCUCAAGGGUCCAUACUGGAAUCAGUACUACUGAGAUCAGUACUACUUGUAUCUUACUGACAAGGAUAAUGGCACCUUAAUAAUGGUAAGGAUAGUGGUGCAGGUGACACAGCAGGAGGGGAUGCCAUCCAGCAGGUCCUGAAUGGACCCAUGUGAACUGAAUGAGGUACAGCAGGACAAGUGCAGUGCACUGCUCCCAGAUUACAGAAAUUCUGGGCACAAAAUACAAGGUAUAGGCAGAGAAUAGAUUGAGAGCAGCGCUGCAGAGAAGGGCUUGGAGUACUGUCACACGAAAAGCAGAGUGCACCUGCAGCCCAGAAAAGCUGAUCAUCUUGGACUGCAUCAAAAGGAGGCCAGCAGGUCAAGGGAGAUGAUUGUCAUUUUCUAUUCUGCUCUCAUGAGAACUCCAGGUUGAGUACUACCUUAGUUAGGGAGGCAGUAUUCCCCUCUUGAAGGCUAUCGACCAUCUGUGUAAGAAUCUAAUUAUAAUCCAAUCAUUUAUGCAAAUGCAAGGAGAAGCACCAUCUAGUUACUUUUGACCUACAAAACUUUCACGUAUAGCAAGGCCAAUGGAUUUUAUGUGUUAUACUGAAGGACUUGUAAAAAUGUUCAGUCGGUGUGCCCAAACUAAUGACAAUAUCGUCUUUACAACUCAAUCCACAAUUAUUAUCACAGCCAACCACACUGAAAUUGUUACAGAAGUUAAUCUGGCUUACAGAUACACAGUAUGAACUAAAAGCAUGGAAGACAUAAUAGCUGUAAUCAUGUCAGCGCUGUGCAAGUAUCUGCUUUAGUAAGGCAAAACAAGCUACCAAUAAUUUGCUGUGCAUGGAUUUAUAGUGCCAUUAAUCAGAAUCUUCCUUUCAUGCAUUUUUUCCUCAUUACCACCUGUUGUUAAAAUGUGUUUUCCUGGUCUGUGGUUAGAUCCAAGCAAGUGGACUGCAAAUGUGAUGUGAAUGACAACAUCCUGACAGUGACUGAAGCAGUAUUGCAUAGAAAAUACACUUGGAAAUUAAACCCUUGGCAGUUAAGAAACAUACCUGUGAUUCAACAGGAAUUAGUGAAAGGAAAUCCAAACCUAGAAAGAAAAGAGGGAUAAUAAACUGACAUGUCUUCCUUCUCUUCAUACACAACAAGUUUAAGGAAUUUUUGUUGUUGUCGUAGAACAGAUUUUUGCAAUUGCUAUACAGUUUCUAAAUGAAGUAUACCACUGUGACACCACUCUCAACGACUUCAGGCAGCAGCAAAACACGUUUUCUAGUACAAGUGGCUCUUUUUAAGAAUGAGGAUGACAAUGAUGUAUUAUUCACUGGAUAUUGCAGGGUGGUUCAAUGUGGUUGCUUAGAUGGAGGUUGCCAUUUGGAGCUGUUGUUCAUAACACAAGUUUCACUGCAUAUUGUACCUGACUUGGCCAAACUGGGACAUGAAGAGUGUCAUCACAUUAAGGAUGCUGGAAUGAAGUAAAGUCACAACAUGCACAAGUCCAAAAACAAGCAGCAGGUCUCUUCCUCCACCCAUAGGCAGCCAAUAAGGAAAUAUUUCUAAUAUCAUCCCCGUUUUGCGUCUAGACAAAUAAAAGGAACGAAGAAGAGGAAACCACAAGUAGUUCAAGGUAAUCCUCUAUGAGCAGUGACAACCAGCGCCCAUCCUCUAUGCCAUUAGCACAUAAGCAUUUAGGGCAAAAAAAAACAACACAAUAUCAAUGAGAAAUCACAGCCAUUUCUAUUUCAAAAUCUUGGCCUUGUGUUUGCUAUGCCAACAGAAAGAAAUGGUACGCUUUCUCCCUCCCUCUCUUGUUACAGUAUAGAUCUGUUUCAGCCGGUGGCAUCUCUA